rnacentral:misc_RNA from 1 species
GCCACAUCAUUCUCUUUGCUUCACCCUUCCUAUACCCUCGUAUGAGGAGAAGGAUCCUAUUCCUUGUCAGGCAUGACUUCUGCAUAUGGUUCUCCUAUCCCAUCAUCACCCCCUUCCUCCUUCCAUCCUUCACAGCCAUGGAAGACUGUAGCAUGCUUGCUGCCGAUUGUGUUGUCAUAUCCUGCUGCUGCCAGUGCUUGAUACUACAAAUCAUCUUCAUCUUGCUAAAACUUCCUUGCAAACUCAUUCGAAAGGCUAAAGAAUAUGCAAAGAAGAAACUUGGAACUCUGUAUAGAAAGCAAGCAGAGAGGAGAACAGAAUCAGUGAAGGGUAGAUUUCAGGACGACUCUGUGGAAUUCCAUGAAGGGUCGAUAAAAAUUCAAAUAGAAGAGUUGCAUGGUAGCCAUGGUCUUGGGAGUUGUGUGGAGGAAGUUGAGAGGGUGAUAGGAGAUUUCUCCCAAAAGGGAGAGUUUGCAUUUGGAAGCUUCUGGGGUAGGGGCAAAGGCAAGGAUUAGAAGCCUCCUUAACAUGUGUAGGUAAACAGGAAUUUGAUUUAAGCCUUGUACAGUUUGAAAUAGUUGAAAUAGACAAUUCUUUCAGAUGCUCAAAAUGAUCGACUUAUUAAGUUCUAUUGCCAGCUUAAUUAUUUGAACACAUUGGUUGCCACAUUUGAUCAGAAAUUUGAUUUGGGUUAAAAAAAAGAUGUUGUUUUUGUAGGCA